AUGAACGCUGGCGGCGUGCCUAAUACAUGCAAGUCGAGCGAACGGACGAGAAGCUUGCUUCUCUAAUGUUAGCGGCGGACGGGUGAGUAACACGUGGAUAACCUACCUAUAAGACUGGGAUAACUUCGGGAAACCGUAGCUAAUACCGGAUAAUAUUUUGAACCGCAUGGUUCAAAAGUGAAAGACGGUCUUGCUGUCACUUAUAGAUGGAUCCGCGCUGCAUUAGCUAGUUGGUAAGGUAACGGCUUACCAAGGCAACGAUGCAUAGCCGACCUGAGAGGGUGAUCGGCCACACUGGAACUGAGACCCUGUCCAGACUCCUACGGGAGGCAGCAGUAGGGAAUCUUCCGCAAUGGGCGAAAGCCUGACGGAGCAACGCCGCGUGAGUGAUGAAGGUCUUCGGAUCGUAAAACUCUGUUAUUAGGGAAGAACAUAUGUGUAAGUAACUGUGCACAUCUUGACGGUACCUAAUCAGAAAGCCACGGCUAACUACGUG
rnacentral:rRNA from 1 species